rnacentral:lncRNA from 9 species
UUUUUUUGUUUGGAUGAUUUCCUUUUAUUUAUGCUUGUGUCCUUUUUAGUUUUUGUGAAUGUACUUUUUGAUUUUGAUUUGUGGUUGCCCUGUUUCUCAGGUAUGUUAACCCCUUCCUCUAUCUGCUUGCUUUAAGCCUGAUAGUCAUAUAGGCUCAGUCAUAGUCUAGAAAAAAAAAAGAGUCUGAUUUUCUUACUUUCCUCACCCAUAUUUGAUGAUUUUGAAGUCCUUUUUAACAUCUUCAUGUUUAUCCUUUUGCCGCUCCUUGUGCUUAUCAUCGCUUUUACAAUAGCUUUUUUCCCCUUUUAGAUCUGGAUACUGGCUUAUUUAAGUGACUGCUUUCCCACUGUUAUUUCCUCCAUCCUAUUUCUUCUUAUCAUUGCUUUUACAAUAGUUUUUUUUUUUCCCUUUUAGAUCUGGAUACUGGCUUAUUUAAGUGACUGCUUUCCCACUGUUAUUUCCUCCAUCCUAUUUCUUCUUGCUUCUUUUUUAUUUAGAUGAGCACUUCUAGUAUUUCUUUUAGAAUGGGUUUAGUAUUGUUGUACUCUUUUAGUUUUUGUUGUUGGAGAAAUUAUUUAUUGCUCCUUCUAUUUUAAAUGACAUUCUUGCUGGGUAGAGUGUUCUAGGCGAGAAUUUUUCCCUUUUAGAACUUUGAAUGUAUCUUCCACUCUCUUCCGGCCUGCAGUGUUUCUGGAGAGAAAUCUGCUGCUAGCCUUAUGGUGGGUUCCCUUAUAAUUAACUCUUUGUUUUUCUCUUGCUGCCUUUAGAAUCCUCUCUUUAUCUGUUUCCUUUAGAUUUGGAAUUUUUUCAGCCGUAACUUCUUCAAAUAAAUUUUCAAUCUCCUUUUAUUUUUCUUUUCCUUCUGGAAUCCCCAUUAUGAAUAGAUUGGCCUGCUUUAUAUUAUCCCAUAGAUCUCUUAUAUUGCUUUCAUGUUUUUCUUUUGGUUUUCUGUCUGCUGUCCUGAUUGGGUGAUUUCCAUUACUCUAUUUUCCAAGUCACUAAUUCAUUCCUCUGCAUUAUUCAUUCUGUUCUUCAGUACCUUUAACCCAGCUUGUGUCUCUGCAAAUGAAUUUUGUAACUUUUCUUGGUUCCUCCUUAUAUUUUCUAGUUCUUUUCUAAAGUAAUCUGUAUUUCUGUUCAUAUCUGCUCUUAAUUCCUUCAGUAUUUUCACUAUGUCCUGGUUCCUGAGCUUCUUCAUUUUGCCUAUAUUUUGUUAUUCUGUGAGUUUAGUGAAAACAACUACUGUAGUCUUGGAGAGCUAUUUAUAUGUGACAGUGCUCCUGGGUAUUUUGUGUGGGCCUACUAUUUAUUUUUGGUGUGAGGGCUGCUUUUAGUUUGGAUGCUUGUUGUCUCUCUCCUCAGCCUGUAUGCAGGCUAUUAUCCCCUUGAUAGGGUGCUGGGCACGCUUCCAGGGAGGUGGAGGCAAUGGGCAGGGCUAGUAGCCAGUGUCUGGUUUUUGGGUCCUUGACAGUGACAAGGACGUAGGGUGGUGGUGCCCUGCCCUCCAAGAGUCCACAUGUGCACAGGAGGAUAUUACUAUGGUGGCCUGCCCCUCCUCCCCUUGCCCUUUCCCACAACAGCACCUUGACUCUUUUAUGGGCCCAGACCUCUUCCCAGGUUCCCUUGGCAGUGGUGUUCUGCUCCCAGCCCAUGGUACACCACUCCCUAGCCCCUUAGGCUGUCUCC